rnacentral:lncRNA from 1 species
CUUCAACCCACUGCUUCCUGACUCGCUCUACUCCGUGGAAGGGCACUCACAAAGUUCCUGAGCUCGCCCUCCUGGGGUGCCCUUGGCCAGCCCCAUGUCUCCUCAGGGUGUCCCAGCACCAGCCUGGCACAGAGUGGGGCUCAGUUAGAGUAUGUGGGAUGUUGGUUUCGCCAGGCACGUGGGCCGCGGCCCAGCUGGGUCGGCUGAAGAACUGCGGAUGGAAGCUGUGGAAGAGGCCCUGAUGGGGCCCACCAUCCCGGACCCGAGUCUUCUUCCUGGAGGGCCUCUCGUCUCCUUCCUGUUUUGGGCGGAAGCCAUCACCUGGAUUCCUACGUGGGAAGGGACCUCGAAUGUGCGACCCCAGCCCCUCUCCAGCUCGAAAUCCCUCCACAGCCACGGGGACGCCCUGCACCUAUUCCCACGGGACAGGCUGGACCCAGAGACUCUGGACCCGGGGCCUCCCCUUGAGUAGAGACCCGCCCUCUGACUGAUGGACGCCGCUGACCUGGGGUCAGACCCGAGGGCUGGACCCCUGCCCACCCCGCAGGAACCCUGAGGCCUAGGGGAGCUGUUGAGCCUUCAGUGUCUGCAUGUGGGAAGUGGGCUCGUUCACCUACCUCACAGGGCUGUUGUGAGGGGCGCUGUGAUGCGGUUCCAAAGCACAGGGCUUGGCGCACCCCACUGUGCUCUCAAUAAAUGUGUUUCCUGUCUUAACAAAAA